AUAGAUGUGUUCACUGAUCUCCUGUGCUCUCUCCUGCUGGAUGAAGUGCCCGGCACCUUUGAUCACCACCACCUCGUCGAGCAUGGGCACGUCUCUCUUGAGCCCACCCUUGUGUAUGUAGCCUUUGACUCCUGGGUGAUGGUAUGCCAGGUCACCGUCCCCGACGAUGAACUUGGUCGGCACUUGCACUUUCGCUCCAGUCCAUGGCGCCAUCAGCUCCCAGUUCCUGUCUAG
rnacentral:rRNA from 1 species